AUUGAACGCUAGCGGGAUGCUUUACACAUGCAAGUCGAACGAGUGGCGGACGGGUGAGUAAUAUAUCGGAACGUGCGCAGUAGCGGGGGAUAACUACGCGAAAGAGUGGAUAAUACCGCAUACUAUGGGAGCGGCCGAUAUCGGAUUAGCUAGUUGGUGGGGUAAAGGCUCACCAAGGCCACGAUCCGUAGCAGGUCUGAGAGGACGACCAGCCACACUGGGACUGAGACACGGCCCAGACUCCUACGGGAGGCAGCAGUGGGGAAUUUUGGACAAUGGGCGAAACCCUGACCCAGCCAUCCCGCGUGUAUGAGAAGGCCUUCGGGUUGUAAAGUACUUUUGGCAGAGAAGCGGUAUCUACAGAAUAAGCCCCGGCUAACUACGUGCCAGCAGCCGCGGUAAUAC
rnacentral:rRNA from 1 species